rnacentral:rRNA from 1 species
GAGGGGGUCGCGGCUGAUUAGCUUGUUGGCGGGGUAAUGGCCCACCAAGGCGAAGAUCGGUAUCCGGCCUGAGAGGGCGCACGGACACACUGGAACUGAAACACGGUCCAGACUCCUACGGGAGGCAGCAGUGGGGAAUUUUGCGCAAUGGGGGAAACCCUGACGCAGCAACGCCGCGUGGAGGAUGAAGUCCCUUGGGACGUAAACUCCUUUCGACCCGGACGAUACUGACGGUACGGGUGGAAGAAGCACCGGCUAACUCUGUGCCAGCAGCCGCGGUAAUACAGAGGGUGCGAGCGUUGUUCGGAAUUAUUGGGCGUAAAGGGCGCGUAGGCGGUGCCACAAGUCACCUGUGAAAUCUCCUGGCUCAACUGGGAGCUUGCAGGCGAAACUGUGGUGCUGGAGUGUGGGAGAGGUGCGUGGAAUUCCCGGUGUAGCGGUGAAAUGCGUAGAUAUCGGGAGG